rnacentral:lncRNA from 1 species
CAUACCCACAAGUACUGAGCUAAACCCUGCUUGAGGCUUCAGGGAGCUCUAGAAGGUGUCAACCAAUAAGAGCCUGAGAACUGAGGUCCUGGGCUGCUUCUGCCCAGGUGAUGCCUAGGAACCCAAAGGCAUCCAGCAGGAGUGGGCAUGAAUUCAGCAUUAAUUUGCCUGGUGUGUCCAUAAGGCCUGGCUGGGCUCACACAUUCCUUUCCUGUCCAGGCAGUCUGAGGUCAGGUGGAGCCACAGAGGGCUAUCGCUGUGACUGCGACAGUGAGCCAGGAUGGUGAGUGGGGCCCAGUGGGGUGUGGGUGGGCCUGGCAGACCACUUUGCCUCUGCUCUGCAUAUAGCAUCUGCUGGGCUCCAGCCCUGGCAACCAGACUCACUGGCCUAACAAUUCAUGCCUCUAAUUGUGCCUUCCUUUCAUUUUAUUUAGUAACUGCACUCAGCCCAGGAAACUCCGGCUUCCACCCCUGAGUGUUUUGACUCAGGGACCGUAAACUGUCUGAUUUCUUGGACAAACACAAUCUUGAGGAGUUUUUCUCUUUACACAAUGGCUAGGAUCUGGGAAUGUCAUGGCUUCCCAUUCAGACCUUUCUCCCCCCCC